rnacentral:lncRNA from 1 species
CUUGCUGUAUGGACGUUAAUCCCGCACCAUACUUUAAAUAAAAUUAAAUGUGCGGUAAAUUAAAUGUACUUGUAUGGGCACUAAUCCUGCUCCAUACAUUUAAAUAAAAGCAAAGGCGUGGGCGAUAAACCCGCACCACCCUUUUAAAUAAAUACUGUCGUAUGGGUAAUAAUCCUACACCAUACAGUAAAUAAAAUAAAUGUGCAGUAAAGUAAAUUUGCAGUAAAUUAAACGUACUUGUAUGGGCACUAAUUCUGCUCCAUACAUUUAAAUAAAAGUAAAGGCGUGGACGAUAAACCCGCACCACCCUUUAAAUAAAUACUGUUGUAUGGGUAAUAAACCUACACCAUACAGUAAAUAAAAUAAAU